rnacentral:rRNA from 1 species
UAAAUGUUAUGUGCAUAUACCGGAAACGGUAUUUUCCUACGGGACUCAUUACAAGGUGCUGCAUGGUUGUCGUCAGCUCGUGCCGUGAGGUGUCGGGUUAAGUCCCAUAACGAGCGCAACCCCUAUUGUCAGUUGCCAUCACGUAAAGGUGGGGACUCUGAUGAGACUGCCGGUGUAAACCGCGAGGAAGGUGGGGAUGACGUCAAAUCAGCACGGCCCUUAUGUCCAGGGCUACACACGUGUUACAAUGGUCAAAACAGAUGGCAGCAACCUGGUGACAGGGAGCUAAUCCACAAAUUUGAUCUUAGUUCGGAUCGAAGUCUGCAACUCGACUUCGUGAAGCUGGAUUCGCUAGUAAUCGCACAUCAUCAACGGUGCGGUGAAUACGUUCCCGGGCCUUGUACACACCGCCCGUCAAGCCAUGGAAGCUGGGAGUGCCUGAAGUCUGUAACCGAAAGGAGCGGCCUAGGGUAAAA